AAGAACAGAAGAAGCACAGAAAUAACAUGCGACAGACUGGAUCACCCCGAGGCAGAUGUUGUCAGCCAAUACAAGCAGACAUACCGCUACGGUGAAAAGGUCCGUUAUGACUGCAAGGAUGGUUAUCAAGGAGAAUUCACUCUAACGUGUGGAGAAGAUGGUUGGCAUGGGAAUCCAAAGUGUGCAG